CCUACGGGAGGCUGCAGUGGGGAAUAUUGGACAAUGGGCGAAAGCCUGAUCCAGCCAUGCCGCGUGUGUGAAGAAGGCCUUCGGGUUGUAAAGCACUUUCAGUGGGGAAGAAAGCCUUGGGGCUAAUACCCUCGAGGAAGGACAUCACCCACAGAAGAAGCACCGGCUAACUCCGUGCCAGCAGCCGCGGUAAUACGGAGGGUGCGAGCGUUAAUCGGAAUUACUGGGCGUAAAGCGCGCGUAGGCGGUCUGAUAAGCCGGUUGUGAAAGCCCCGGGCUCAACCUGGGAACGGCAUCCGGAACUGUCAGGCUAGAGUGCAGGAGAGGAAGGUAGAAUUCCCGGUGUAGCGGUGAAAUGCGUAGAGAUCGGGAGGAAUACCAGUGGCGAAGGCGGUCUUCUGGACUGACACUGACGCUGAGGUGCGAAAGCGCGGGUAGCAAACAGGAUUAGAUACCCUUGUAGUC
rnacentral:rRNA from 1 species